rnacentral:rRNA from 1 species
UACGUAGGGUGCGAGCGUUGUCCGGAAUUAUUGGGCGUAAAGAGCUUGUAGGCGGUUUGUCGCGUCUGCUGUGAAAAUCCGGGGCUCAACCCCGGACUUGCAGUGGGUACGGGCAGACUAGAGUGUGGUAGGGGAGACUGGAAUUCCUGGUGUAGCGGUGAAAUGCGUAGAUAUCUGGAGGAACACCGGUGGCGAAGGCGGCAUCCUGGACCGACACUGACGCUGAGGAGCGAAAGCCAGGGGAGCAAACGGG